CCUACGGGAGGCAGCAGUGGGGAAUAUUGGGCAAUGGGCGCAAGCCUGACCCAGCAACGCCGCGUGAAGGAAGAAGGCUUUCGGGUUGUAAACUCCUUUUCUCAGGGACGAAGCUAGUGACGGUACCUGAGGAAUAAGCCACGACCAACUUCGUGCCAGCAGCCGCGGUAAUACGGAGGUGGCAAGCGUUAUCCGGAAUUACUGGGUGUAAAGGGCGUGUAGGCGGGACUGCAAGUCAGAUGUGAAAACCACGGGCUCAACCUGUGACCUGCAUUUGAAACUGUAGUUCUUGAGUACUGGAGAGGCAGACGGAAUUCCUGGUGUAGGGGUGAAAUGCGUAGAUAUUAAGAGGAACACCAAUGGCGAAGGCGGUCUGCUGGACAACUACUGACGCUGAGGCGCGAAAGCGUGGGGAGCAAACAGGAUUAGAUACCCGGGUAGUC
rnacentral:rRNA from 1 species